rnacentral:lncRNA from 1 species
AUAAUUUGCUCUGUGAUCGUUAUUGACUGUGUGGGGCAGUGUUAGGAUUCCCAGCUGCUGUGUGCACAGACUCAGCCUGCAGACACGGGAUGAUCCCUGCUUCCUGCUGCAUGUAAACUGGAGGACAGCAGAGGGCAUUGAAAUAAAACUGCUGGCCUGCUGAAGCACCUUCUUCCUCCCCUGCUUGUGGGAGCAAAGUGUGAACUGCCCCUUUGUCUGCUGUGGAAGGAACACAGAUGGGAGGAGGCUGUUUGUGGCUCAAGACUUGAUGCUGCUGUGGUUGGGAGGAGGAAACAGGUUCCUCAGCUCACAGCUCCUGAACACCUGGUGGGCACCCACAAAACUGCAGAAUGGAUGGGCAGAAAAAGCAUGAGCAGCAACUGCAGGAGUGUGGCUGUUGACAUGGUUGCUGUGGUUUAUCCUGCUCUGUGAUCCUGCAGAACUGAUCAGCAGUUUGCUCCUGAACUGAAGGAAGGAAUGUGAGUGCCUGUAGCAGAACGGCCAUUGGCUCUAACACUGCAUACGCAGGAC